GAUGCAAGGAGUCACAAUUUUCAAGACUUUCAAACUUAGACACAAGACCUGAUUAAAGGCUGACAUGUUGUAAAUAAAACAACUAUCACAUCCAACAAAACAGUAGAAAGUAAUAAGACCACAGAAGUUAAAUUAAAAACCUUGAUUAAGUAAAAAAAAAUAGCUUGAGAUACAAAUGUAUUUCCUUUAUAUAAACUGUAAUGAUGUAGAACUAUGUAAUGUAUUUUGUACAUUUAUUGAUGAAUUAAUGUUGAACACAACUAGUGUGUUUUUCAGCAAGUCAGUAAACUUCAAAUAACUCUUGAGUGUGGGGGAGGGGCGCGCUUCAAUCAAGCCACAUGCAAGGAUGCGUUCAUGGCAGAAGGAAUUUUUUGCUUUCUUCAUUGAGACUUAUUUAUGCUUAAAAGCAGUAUGGUUUGAGUUUCAAAUGUUGGACUAAUUAUUUAAUGAACCAUUGUUAAACAUAAUCCUACUAGUUUACUGAAGAGUGUGGAUUGUAAUCAGUAGCUUAGUCCAUGAAGUGUCACAACAUUGACAUCCGAGUGGACGUGAAUGCAUCACCAGAAAGUGCGAGCCCGCAGAUGCACAUCAACACCACUGAAGCGGUGUGAAGAACAACUAACGCAAACAAAACAAGAAAACCACAAACAAAUCUUACAACUAAUCAAGAUGGACGGUGUUAUAGAUGGCUCUUUAUCUGAAUCCAGCAAUGAUCCAGAAAGUGACUACAUGCCGUCAAUGUCUGAUAGUUCAUCCUCAACAGUGGCACCUGGUCAAGAGUCACAAGUCAGUGGAAGUCAGGCUCAAAACUCAGAUGCCUGUUCAAGAUUCUGAUGAAGAACCGGACAUUCUGACUCAAAAGACCUCAACUCCAAGACCAUCAGAUCAGGCCUGCUGAAAAAGACUGAGAAAACAGGGAGCGAUUGACAGUACCCCCAAAAGAAGUUCCAUGGUAGGCCUUGGUGUUGUGAAAAAAAGACGACAGUACGGCGACAGCACAUCACUCUGAAUAGAGUUCCUGGUAAAGAACUUAGUCUCAAGGCUCUUGAUGCAGAACUGAUACUCGCCACUGGAGAGAUGUUAAGAACCAAAUCUACAAUUCCAUCACAUCCCAAAAAAGUCAAGUUUGAGUUUAUCAGUCUAUUGUCUAAAAAGUGUUAGGUAACACUUUAAAAGUGGUCAAGGAGGUUCUUUGCCUCACUCUAUGACUAUUUCACUUCAUGCUAAACUGCUGUUGAUGCACUUAACAGUUGAUGAAUCUGUUAUAGAUCAGUUGAUUACCUCAUAUUGAUAAUAAUGGCACUUUUUGAUGACACUAAUUAACCAUGACCACGUGUAUUGAUGACACUUAUUGAUAAUAAUAAUGAUGGCAAUUCUUAUUGGUAAUAGCGUUGAUAAUGAGACUUGAUACUGACACCGCUUAUUGAUAAAGACCCUAAUUCACAAUGGCACUCAUUGAUAAUUACACUUAUUAAUACAGACUACUUGACGACGAUGACACUUAUUGAAAAUAAUGAGACUCAUUGAUAAUAUUGAUGCAUUGAUUUAGACACUAAUUGACAAUGACACUAAUUGAUAAUGACCCUUUUUGAUGAUGGUUAUUUAUAUUGAUAAUAGCACUUGACAUAAUGACACCUAUUGAUAAUGACAUUUAUUUGUGAUUACGACACUUAGUGAUACUAGCAUCGCUUAUUGAUAAUGACACUACCGUAUUUUUCAGACUAUAAGUCGACGUUUUUUUCAUAGUUUGGCCGUGGGUGCGACUUAUACUCCGGAGCGACUUAUGUGUGAAAUGAUUAACACAUUACCGUAAAAUAUCAAAUAAUAUUAUUUAUCUCAUUCACGUGAGCGACGAAGCAAAUGGCAGCCAUCAUCACACACACGUCAGCAAUCGUCACUCACAUGCCAACCAAUAAGAAUUCGGUUGGGGCGGGCCAUGGCAGAAGUGCAUUGUGGGCCAUGAUAUGCUAACUGCUAUAUGCUAUACGCUACUGCCAGAGCUAUUAAAAUGGAUCACAUCAACAUUGGCGGUAACUUAUAAAAACUGAGAAGUGCUGAACUAAAAUGGCACCGAAAAGGAAAUCAUAUACUGCAGAUUACAAGCUGGACGUAGUUAAAUAUGCUGCAGAAAACUGCGAUCGAGCAGCAGAAAGAAAGGACGCUAGCGGCGCAUACCAGGAGCGACACCGGGGAGGAAGAUUUCAUGGGAUUUAGCGAUCGGGAGUGACAGAUUGUUUGGUAAACGUAUAGCAUGUUCUAUAUGUUAUAGUUAUUUGAAUGACUCUUACCAUAAUAUGUUACGUUAACAUACCAGUUGGUUAUUUAUGCGUCAUAUAACGUACACUUAUUCCGCCUGUUGUUCACUAUUCUUGAUUUAUUUUAAAUUGCCUUUCAAAUGUCUAUUCUUGCUGUUGGCUUUUAUCAAAUACAUUUCCCCCAAAAAUGCGACUUAUACUCCAGUGCGACGUAUAUAUGUUUUUUUCCUUCUUUAUUAUGCAUUUUCGGCCGGUGCGACAUAUACUCCGUAGCGACUUACACUCCGAAAAAUACGGUAAUAGACGAUGAAUCUUAUUGAUAAUGAUGCUUAUGGAUGAUGACGAUAAUGACACUUAACAAUAAUGAUGUUAUUACUAAUGGCACUUAUUGAUAUUGAUGAUGACAUUGAUGAUCAAUCUUUCUAUUCAUUAUAGUUAGAGUAUUGUGGACCAACUUAUCUUCCAUUAGAUGAUCUAUGCUGCUUUAUAAUAAAAUAAUUUUGCUAUCAAUUUGUGUAAAAUAUUUUGUUAAUACUUACAUGUGUUUGAAAAUUCUGGGAAAUCGUCAUGAAUUACAUUUUUUUUUCAAAUAUACAUAUCAAUCAAUAAUAGUAUUAGAUUAGAUUUUUUUCAGUUAGAAUAACGCAAACCUGAUAUGAUAUGCUCACCUAGAAAAGGCCUAAAGCUGCACUUGAGUACAGUAAAAACAGUAAUUGAGUAAUAAUGUGUUACUUAAAACUUAAAAGCAAAUUAAAUGUAAGGUAGCAGCUUGAAAGUCAAAUCCCAGAAAUAAUAGCUGUAGUACAGUUGUACGAGCAGUAGUAGGGUAAUACUAUAAGUAAAAUAAGUUGUUAGUGUAGCUGUGAAAUGUCGUAGAAGUAAUAUUAUCAUUUGUAAUAGUGUUACCAGCUGCAGUAGCAAAGCCAUUAUCAGCAGGAGUUGUUGGUGUAUUAGCACUACUAGUAGUAAAUGUAUUGCUAUUACUUCUACUGCCACUAUAUGACUAUAUUGUGUCAUAUAUAUAUAUGUAUACAUUUAUGUUUUAUUAUAUGUAUAUAUUCAUAUAUACUGUACUGUAUGUAUUUAUAUAUACAUGUUGUGUAUGUUUAAUUUUCUACUAUGUAAUACAUGUUUUGUACAUUUAUACAAUAAUGUAAACUGAAUGAAAAUAGUCUGAGAAAUGAGCAAGAUAUGAUUUAUUUUCAAUUUAGAUGUGUUACUUUCAUUGAGUACUUUGCGGUAGAAAAUGGAUGGAUGGAUGGAUCUUUUUGCACUUCUUUGAAGGUAUAUUUCACUAUUGUAGUAUUUUAUAUAUCUAUCUGUGUUACAAUGUAAACGUGACACUGCUUGCACUAUUUUAAAAUAGUUUCUUAUGUUGGUACAGCACUUUAGCCAAUUGUUUUUAAAUAUUUGUAUUUAAAGGAAUACACUACACUUAGCAAGAUGCUAUAAAGAUGAAACACAUUUAUCCUCAAUCAGUAGACAAAUAUGUGCAACAUAGUACAAACUUCCAGGGAAAUCCUGACUAAAAUCAAAUGUUGCCUGUGGCCCCUACCUGUAAUGUGUGUUCUUUGGGGCCUGCACGUAGUUAAGUUUAUAAAGGAUAUUUUAUUUCAUUUAAUUCAAGCAACUUGAUUGGUUCACAGUGAGGUAAUUAAAGGCAUAGUGACAUAUUAACACGACUGUAAGUAAUUUGACUUCUUAUUACGGAAGGCUUAUUUAGAAAUGUGAUGAGCAUGAAUGUUCAGGAAGUAUAGUUUAUGGGGAAAAGUCA